rnacentral:rRNA from 1 species
CCCGAAUCUUGAAGAGCUACAAGCCUAUUUUUUUAAUGUGUCAUAAUUAUUAUAAAUUGACUUGUAGGGGUGAAACGUUAUUCGUUUUAAGAUAUAUCUGGUUCUUUAAGAAAUAGAUUUAAUCUAGCUUAAUUAAAUUAGAUAUUUUAUUAAUAAGUUUCUAGUUUAUUUGAGUAAGCUAUUUGGGGAUAAGCUCUAAUAGUAAUUUUUAUUUAAUUGUGAUUUUGCCAAACCCAUAGGAAUAGAAAUUUCCAUUGUUAAUAGUUUGUUAUAAUCAAUUUGGUUUUAUAUACGAUUUUUAUAGUUAAUAAAUUGUUUAUUGAAGUAUUAAGGUUAAUUUUCUACUUUAAGAAAAAAUGAUGAAAUUAGUAUAUUUAUUUGUAAAGUUAAAAUUGUUUGAGAGAAUUAUUAAAGGAAUUCGGCAAGUAUAUUCUUCACCUGUUUAUUAAAAACAUGUCCUUUUGACUAUUAUUUAAGGUCGGGCCUGCCCAAUGAGGAUUUGAAUGGCCGCAGUAAUUUGACUGUGCUAAGGUAGCAUAAUCAUUAGUUUCUUAAUUAGGAACUGGAAUGAAAGGUUUGAUGAGGGAAUAACUGUCUCUAAUAUUUUUAUAGAAUUUUAUUUUUAAGUUAAAAAGCUUAAAUUUAGUUGAAAGACGAGAAGACCCUAUAGAGUUUGAUAUAUUAAUUUAUUAUACAUUUUUGAAUUUUAAUUGGUUUAAUAAUUUAAUUUAUUUGGUUGGGGUGAUUGUAAAAUUGAUUGAACUUUUACUAUUUGCUGGCCACUGAUAUGUGUUUUGAUGAUCCAAUAAUUUUGAUUAUAAGAAUGAAUUACCUUAGGGAUAACAGCGUAAUCUUUUUGUAGAGUUCUAAUCGAUAAAAGGGAUUGCGACCUCGAUGUUGGAUUAAAAUUUACUUAGGGUGCAAUAGCUCUGGAGUUGGGUCUGUUCGACCUUUAAAAUUUUACAUGAUCUGAGUUUAAACCGGCGUGAGCCAGGUUGGUUUCUAUCUUCAAUUGUUUACAAAACCCUAGUACGAAAGGACCGGG